UGAUCGCGGAGACAGCGCCGUCUGGAUACACAGGUCUUCCGCGCGUGUAAACGCUAGGCUGUACGCCGAGGCGGAAACAUGUCUGCAGCGAAAACCCGCGCCGACGUUUGCACGACAACCAGCAAGUUGUUGCAGGCUGCGGUAUUGCUUCUGUGGGUGCUAUGGAUAAUUUUCGGCUACCGCAGCAACCUGAUUCUGCGACAUGCUGAACGUAAACACGUUGAAGUUGUGCCCCCGGAAGCGUGGACAACGGCGCCAGAAUUUAAUGAAAGCGUAGAAAGCGCCACCAUGAAAGCAGAGAAAACAAGGACUACCAUGCCUGCGUCAAAGCGUAAG
rnacentral:lncRNA from 1 species